CUUAUUUAUCUUGGAAUGCUUCAAAUAAUAGCUCUCAUUCUUGCCAUACAAACAUGCAAAGUUCGUAUUAAAAUACUUGCUGACUCAAAGAGGUUGCAACUAUCAUUUACAUAACUAGCAUUGUACUGGUAGAGCUGGUGGUUGUAUCAUUCGCUCUGUCUAGUUUUUAUAAUAUUCAUGAGGCACUUUAUGAUGCUGGCCUGCUGAUUGUGGCUAUUGCAAUUUUACUAGUCAUAUUUGCAUCAAAGAUGUAUCGUUUAUAUAAAGAUCCCAAGGGAGAGAGUUGUGAGACCUCACAGACAAUGUCUUCAAUUGAGUUUGGAAGAAGUGGAGCAUUAACAGUAGUCAGUGAUAAAGAGAGAAUUGAUCAGUUGCAGAAUAAAGUCCUGGAGCUACAGUCACAGCUAGAAGGAAAAAGGGUUUUAAAUGCAGAAAACGGAGACAGGAAAGGACCUGUCACUUUCAUAGAGACUUCCAUGGUGGCUUCAUUUACUGAAACAAAUGAUUGAAAUGUAUUUUGUUGUCGUGGUGUGUUUUGUACCGUUUUUAUUCAAACAAA